GUUGUUCGGAAUUACUGGGCGUAAAGGGCUCGUAGGCGGCCAACUAAGUCCGACGUGAAAUCCCAAAGCUUAACUUUGGAACUGCGUCGGAUACUGGAUGGCUUGGAUUUGGGAGAGGGAUGCGGAAUUCCAGGUGUAGCGGUGAAAUGCGUAGAUAUCUGGAGGAACACCGGUGGCGAAGGCGGCAUCCUGGACCAAUAUUGACGCUGAGGAGCGAAAGCCAGGGGAGCAAACGGG
rnacentral:rRNA from 1 species